CAUUGCUCGCGGACAUUUUUAUUUGCAUUUGGAGCACUUUUCUUUUGUGGGUUAAAAUGAGAGAAGGCGUCUCCAUAUUGAUGUUUGAUUAAUGCAAAAGUAUUAUUUUGAAAGAAAACCCCAACAGAGUAAGAAACUGUAAAAUCACACUUGCAGAUGAAGAAUUCAAAUUUCAAAGGAUGAGAUAUCUAAAAGGAAAACAUAACAAGGAAAACAACAAAGGGGUGUUGAAAAGCCACAGUUUUGACAGAGCAAUUAAACAAAUUGCAAAAAUUCUACAAGUUACUGGCUGUUUGAAUAUGGAGCAUGAUUCCCUAUCUAUACUAACAACAUGGAUCGAUUAUAUAAAGAAACUAAAAAGUGAAAAUGCUAGGAUGGAGACAUUAGAAAAAAAUUAUUUUCGGAUGGAUAAUUACUGUGAAGAAAUGAAAAAACAAAUCGAGG